UACGUAGGGGGCAAGCGUUGUCCGGAAUCAUUGGGCGUAAAGAGCGUGUAGGCGGCUCGAUAAGUCUGCUGUGAAAGUCCAGGGCUCAACCCUGGAAGGCCGGUGGAAACUGUCGGGCUAGAGUCCGGAAGAGGCGAGUGGAAUUCCCGGUGUAGCGGUGAAAUGCGCAGAUAUCAGGAGGAACACCGAUGGCGAAGGCAGCUCGCUGGAACGGUACUGACGCUGAGGCGCGAAAGCGUGGGGAGCGAACAGG
rnacentral:rRNA from 1 species